AUUGAACGCUAGCGGGAUGCUUUACACAUGCAAGUCGAACGAGUGGCGGACGGGUGAGUAAUAUAUCGGAACGUGCCCAGUAGCGGGGGAUAACUACUCGAAAGUGUGGCUAAUACCGCAUACUAUUGGAGCGGCCGAUAUGGGAUUAGCGAGUUGGUGGGGUAAAGGCUCACCAAGGCCACGAUCCCUAGCUGGUCUGAGAGGAUGACCAGCCACACUGGGACUGAGACACGGCCCAGACUCCUACGGGAGGCAGCAGUGGGGAAUAUUGGACAAUGGGGGAAACCCUGAUGCAGCCAUCCCGCGUGUAUGAGAAGGCCUUCGGGUUGUAAAGUACUUUUGGCAGAGAAGCGGUACCUGCAGAAUAAGCACCGGCUAACUACGUGCCAGCAGCCGCGGUAAUAC
rnacentral:rRNA from 1 species